UACGUAGGAGGCAAGCGUUGUCCGGAAUUACUGGGUGUAAAGCGCGUGUAGGCGGCAGGCCAAGUCUGUGGUGAAAUCGCUCGGCUCAACUGGGCGGGGUCCAUGGAAACUGGUCAGCUGGAGGACGGUAGAGGUGAGUGGAAUUCCCGGUGUAGUGGUGAAAUUCGUAGAUAUUCGGAAGAACACCAGUGGCGAAGGCGGCUCACUGGCCCGGUACUGACGCUGAGGUGCGAAAGCGUGGGGAGCAAACAGG
rnacentral:rRNA from 1 species